UACAGAGGGGGCAAGCGUUGUUCGGAAUUACUGGGCGUAAAGGGCGCGUAGGCGGCCUUCUAAGUCGAACGUGAAAUCCCUGGGCUCAACCCAGGAACUGCGUCCGAUACUGGGAGGCUUGAAUCCGGGAGAGGGAUGCGGAAUUCCAGGUGUAGCGGUGAAAUGCGUAGAUAUCUGGAGGAACACCGGUGGCGAAGGCGGCAUCCUGGACCGGUAUUGACGCUGAGGCGCGAAAGCCAGGGAGCAACGGG
rnacentral:rRNA from 1 species